rnacentral:rRNA from 1 species
UCCCAGCACUCCAAGUCGCAGCCACAAUUAUUGGGUCUAAAACAUCCGUAGCUUGCUUUGUAAGUCUUUUGUCAAAUCGGGACUCUUAAGGUUCCGGCGAGCAAAAGAUACUGUGGAGCUAGGGACCGGGAGAUGUAAAGAGUAUGAAUUAGGUAGCGGUAAAAUGCGUUGAUCUUUUUCAGACUAACAACAGCGAAGGCACUUUACAAGAACGGAUCCGACAGUGAGGGAUGAAGGCUAGGGGCGCAAAUUG